rnacentral:rRNA from 1 species
AUGAGGCGAACCGGGGGAACUGAAACAUCUAAGUACCCCGAGGAAAAGAAAUCAACCGAGAUUCCCCCAGUAGCGGCGAGCGAACGGGGAGGAGCCCAGAGCCUGAAUCAGUGUGUGUGUUAGUGGAAGCGUCUGGAAAGGCGCGCGAUACAGGGUGACAGCCCCGUACACAAAAAUGCACAUAUUGUGAGCUCGAUGAGUAGGGCGGGACACGUGGUAUCCUGUCUGAAUAUGGGGGGACCAUCCUCCAAGGCUAAAUACUCCUGACUGACCGAUAGUGAACCAGUACCGUGAGGGAAAGGCGAAAAGAACCCCGGCGAGGGGAGUGAAAAAGAACCUGAAACCGUGUACGUACAAGCAGUGGGAGCCUCUUAAUGGGGUGACUGCGUACCUUUUGUAUAAUGGGUCAGCGACUUAUAUUCUGUAGCAAGGUUAACCGAAUAGGGGAGCCGAAGGGAAACCGAGUCUUAACUGGGCGUUAAGUUGCAGGGUAUAGACCCGAAACCCGGUGAUCUAGCCAUGGGCAGGUUGAAGGUUGGGUAACACUAACUGGAGGACCGAACCGACUAAUGUUGAAAAAUUAGCGGAUGACUUGUGGCUGGGGGUGAAAGGCCAAUCAAACCGGGAGAUAGCUGGUUCUCCCCGAAAGCUAUUUAGGUAGCGCCUCGUGAAUUCAUCUCCGGGGGUAGAGCACUGUUUCGGCAAGGGGGUCAUCCCGACUUACCAACCCGAUGCAAACUGCGAAUACCGGAGAAUGUUAUCACGGGAGACACACGGCGGGUGCUAACGUCCGUCGUGAAGAGGGAAACAACCCAGACCGCCAGCUAAGGUCCCAAAGUCAUGGUUAAGUGGGAAACGAUGUGGGAAGGCCCAGACAGCCAGGAUGUUGGCUUAGAAGCAGCCAUCAUUUAAAGAAAGCGUAAUAGCUCACUGGUCGAGUCGGCCUGCGCGGAAGAUGUAACGGGGCUAAACCAUGCACCGAAGCUGCGGCAGCGACACUAUGUGUUGUUGGGUAGGGGAGCGUUCUGUAAGCCUGUGAAGGUGUACUGUGAGGUAUGCUGGAGGUAUCAGAAGUGCGAAUGCUGACAUAAGUAACGAUAAAGCGGGUGAAAAGCCCGCUCGCCGGAAGACCAAGGGUUCCUGUCCAACGUUAAUCGGGGCAGGGUGAGUCGACCCCUAAGGCGAGGCCGAAAGGCGUAGUCGAUGGGAAACAGGUUAAUAUUCCUGUACUUGGUGUUACUGCGAAGGGGGGACGGAGAAGGCUAUGUUGGCCGGGCGACGGUUGUCCCGGUUUAAGCGUGUAGGCUGGUUUUCCAGGCAAAUCCGGAAAAUCAAGGCUGAGGCGUGAUGACGAGGCACUACGGUGCUGAAGCGACAAAUGCCCUGCUUCCAGGAAAAGCCUCUAAGCAUCAGGUAACAUCAAAUCGUACCCCAAACCGACACAGGUGGUCAGGUAGAGAAUACCAAGGCGCUUGAGAGAACUCGGGUGAAGGAACUAGGCAAAAUGGUGCCGUAACUUCGGGAGAAGGCACGCUGAUAUGUAGGUGAAGCGACUUGCUCGUGGAGCUGAAAUCAGUCGAAGAUACCAGCUGGCUGCAACUGUUUAUUAAAAACACAGCACUGUGCAAACACGAAAGUGGACGUAUACGGUGUGACGCCUGCCCGGUGCCGGAAGGUUAAUUGAUGGGGUUAGCGGUAACGCGAAGCUCUUGAUCGAAGCCCCGGUAAACGGCGGCCGUAACUAUAACGGUCCUAAGGUAGCGAAAUUCCUUGUCGGGUAAGUUCCGACCUGCACGAAUGGCGUAAUGAUGGCCAGGCUGUCUCCACCCGAGACUCAGUGAAAUUGAACUCGCUGUGAAGAUGCAGUGUACCCGCGGCAAGACGGAAAGACCCCGUGAACCUUUACUAUAGCUUGACACUGAACAUUGAGCCUUGAUGUGUAGGAUAGGUGGGAGGCUUUGAAGUGUGGACGCCAGUCUGCAUGGAGCCGACCUUGAAAUACCACCCUUUAAUGUUUGAUGUUCUAACGUGGGCCCCUUACCGGGGUUGCGGACAGUGUCUGGUGGGUAGUUUGACUGGGGCGGUCUCCUCCUAAAGAGUAACGGAGGAGCACGAAGGUUGGCUAAUCCUGGUCGGACAUCAGGAGGUUAGUGCAAUGGCAUAAGCCAGCUUGACUGCGAGCGUGACGGCGCGAGCAGGUGCGAAAGCAGGUCAUAGUGAUCCGGUGGUUCUGAAUGGAAGGGCCAUCGCUCAACGGAUAAAAGGUACUCCGGGGAUAACAGGCUGAUACCGCCCAAGAGUUCAUAUCGACGGCGGUGUUUGGCACCUCGAUGUCGGCUCAUCACAUCCUGGGGCUGAAGUAGGUCCCAAGGGUAUGGCUGUUCGCCAUUUAAAGUGGUACGCGAGCUGGGUUUAGAACGUCGUGAGACAGUUCGGUCCCUAUCUGCCGUGGGCGCUGGAGAACUGAGGGGGGCUGCUCCUAGUACGAGAGGACCGGAGUGGACGCAUCACUGGUGUUCGGGUUGUCAUGCCAAUGGCACUGCCCGGUAGCUAAAUGCGGAAGAGAUAAGUGCUGAAAGCAUCUAAGCACGAAACUUGCCCCGAGAUGAGUUCUCCCUGACUCCUUGAGAGUCCUGAAGGAACGUUGAAGACGACGACGUUGAUAGGCCGGGUGUGUAAGCGCAGCGAUGCGUUGAGCUAACCGGUACUAAUGAACCGUGAGGCUUAACCUUACAACGCCGAAG